GAGCGACGCCGCGUGGGGAGGAAGGCCUUCGGUUGUAAACCCUGUUGCCGGUUAUGAAUCGCAGGACGCGAACAGCGUUACUGCGUGACAAAGGCCGGUGAGGAAGCCACGGCUAACUUCGUGCCAGCAGCCGCGGUAAGACGAAGGUGGCAAGCGUUGUUCGGAAUCACUGGGCAUAAAGCGCACGUAGGCGGCCAAGUCAGUCGGUUGUGAAAGCCCUCGGCUCAACCGAGGAAGUGCUACCGAUACUGCUUGGCUUGAGGUCCGGAGGGGUGAGUGGAAUUCCCGGUGGAGCGGUGAAAUGCGUAGAGAUCGGGAAGAACGCCGGCAGCGAAAGCGACUCACUGGUCGGAAUCUGACGCUGAGGUGCGAAAGCUAGGGGGAGCAAACGGGAUUAGAUACCCCGGUAGUCCUAGCCAUAAACGAUGGGCGCUAGGUAGUGGCGGUUCCUAUGCCGUCACUGCUGGAGCAAAUGUUUUAAGCGCCCCGCCUGGGAAGUACGGCCGCAAGGCUA
rnacentral:rRNA from 1 species